AGGUGAGAGUGACUACUACCAUGACGACACCGAAGGCAUUAUUUAUAGAUGAAACCGUGUCGCAUAGAGACGAGUGCACCGUCACGAGUUGAGCUAUAUUAUUUGCAAAAUUCUUCGUUUCUAAAAAUACGAAUAGAAUGCGGAUACCAUUCUAAGGGCUUGGAUAUACGAAUGUACGAAGCUGGUUGUUCUCGAGUUUUAAAAUCGCCGGCUGUGUGUUAGCGUUUAUAAAGAAAAAAAAAAAAAAAAAAGGUUAUUAUCGUACAGAUCAUUUUGAUCUGGCCAUGCGACACGAUUCGUAUCUUAAUUAUUAUCACGAAAAAAUGAAACAAGAGAAGUAUAGUACUCACCCAAGCCAAGAUCUUUUCUAAAAUGAUCGGUCACCUUGCCCGUCUUUAAGAUACUUUCAAGACAUUUGUUAAGCCUCACAAAUCUCUGAUAUACGUUAUAUGUGAUAAGACUAUAUUGGAUUUCCAAUAUAAUGAUGAUCAUAUACAUGAUAUAAAUUGGCAAGUAGUUUAUCGCACCCUUGUCCUUCAUUUUUUUAUUUGCUUUCGAAUCGCGAUCCCACCAACAUAUGUCGAGACUCGAUAAUAUAACAAGAUAGGUAAGAGCACAAGUAACUAAGACAAUGCUACAUCUACGAGUUUUCUUCGGUGCAACGAUACCCAACGUUUCGUCGAUCUGAUUUUCAUAUAUAAUGGAAAUGAGAAAUAGAACAAGAAAUGAAGAAAAUGAAAAAUAUAAACUUUAUGGGCAAUCUCACGACGAAAUUCUUUCAAUUCACCUCGGCCAAGUUAUUAAGAACAAUCUGCCCGUGUUUCCAACGAAAUGGCGAACCUAAUACAGCAAUAAUAGCCAAUAUUAUUACUCCAAGAAUAUCACUACAAGUUGGUAUUACGGCUGAACGAGAUUUUAGCCUGGUGCUAUUUUCCCAGCCAUCUCUCAUUUCUCGCCAUAGACCCCAAGCUUCUAAACCCAUGAUAACUCCAAGAAGAAAUAUGCUGAGUAGAAACGAAUAAUUGAUUGAUCUAUCAAGAAAAUUAUUUAAAAAAAUACAAGUCUUACCAGUAAAUUACAUCAAACAUUUGCAAACGACCUUGGUAUCGGCCAUGAGGUUGUUUCGUGAAACGAACUGGAAGCAAACCACACGCCUUGCUGAUAUGAUAAAUAGGGAAAAGAGCUUGAAAGAUAUCGCUAUUCACCAUUGUCCUGUUUAUCUCCAUUCCUUCUUUUUUAAUAUCGCUUACUUUAAUAUUUCCUCGUUUCCCUAAAAAUUUCAUUAAAUUAGUGUAAUUAAAUUUACGUUUAGAAAUCUUUAUAUAAGUCUAUCAACUCACUGUUCUCACGUUUGUUCCUCAUGUGCAUUCUAGUUUCUGUAUUAGUUCCUUCACGUUCCCCUGGUAAAAUAUUUUCUUCGUAAAUAGUAUUAUCAUAAAAUUCUUUUUUGAUCAAAAAAUACAUGUUUGUUUUCUCUCUCUCUCUCUCUGUCUUUUUUUUUCUUCUUUUUAGGAAGAAUAUCGAAUCUUAUCGUUGGAAUAUCAAUCAAAGUAAUAAAUACGUAAUUAUGUUUGCGUUUUGAUUAUCUCUAUUAUUUAAAGAUCAUAGUUCGCCGUUUGAUAUUAUUUGUAGGUACUGAAAUAUACUUUUUCGCGUUAGAACGAGUGGACUAGAAAGAAUAUCUUCUCGUUCUAAGGAAUACCGAUGAGAAACGAACUUCCACGUACAUCGUACUGCGCGUACCUUUAUUGUAUCGCUUGUUGUGUCCAUCCAUUCGCGUCAGAUCGUCGACGGAUAAUUAUUGUUGUUGAACGAGUGGUUCUUCAGCGCGCGAUGGCUAUCCUUUGAAAACAUUUAUAUACGAUGUUUGCAUUAGUGGGUGGACGGACGCACAUAGAAUGAAAUUCUUGUAAAGUACACAAAGUAUUAUAUAUAUAUAUAUAUGUACGUAAGUAUGUUAAUAACACAUUGAAUAUUUUUUUAA